AUACUUACCUGGCGUAGGGGUUACCGUGAUCAAUAAGGCGGUUCCCCCAGGACGAGGCCCUUCCAUUGCACUUCGGUCGGGCUGACCCCUGCGAUUACCCCUAAUGCGGGUAGCUCGGGCGCGUAAUUUUUGGUAGUCGCGGGUCUGCGUACGCGCUAACCCGGA
rnacentral:snRNA from 1 species